AUACGUAGGGGGCGAGCGUUGUCCGGAAUGACUGGGCGUAAAGGGCGUGUAGGCGGCUGUCUAAGUCUGGAGUGAAAGUCCUGCUUUCAAGGUGGGAAUUGCUUUGGAGACUGGAUGGCUUGAGUGCGGAAGAGGUAAGUGGAAUUCCCAGUGUAGCGGUGAAAUGCGGAGAGAUUGGGAGGAACACCAGUGGCGAAGGCGACGUACAGGGCCGUAACUGAAGCUUAGGCGCGAAAGCGUGGGGAGCGAUCAUGAUUAGAUACACUGGUAGUCCACGCGGUAAACGAUGAAUGCCAGGUGGUGCGGGUAUCGACCCCUGCAGUGCCGGAGUAAACACAAUAAGCAUUCCGCCUGGGGAGUACGGCCGCAAGGUUGAAACUCAAAUGAAUUGAAGGGG
rnacentral:rRNA from 1 species